rnacentral:piRNA from 1 species
UUGUGAUGUCAUAUACUUCAAAGGUCC